UACGGAGGGUGCAAGCGUUAUCCGGAUUCACUGGGUUUAAAGGGUGCGUAGGUGGGUUGGUAAGUCAGUGGUGAAAUCUCCGAGCUUAACUUGGAAACUGCCAUUGAUACUAUCAGUCUUGAAUAUUGUGGAGGUUAGCGGAAUAUGUCAUGUAGCGGUGAAACGCUUAGAUAUGACAUAGAACACCAAUUGCGAAGGCAGCUGGCUACGCAUAUAUUGACACUGAGGCACGAAAGCGUGGGGAUCAAACAGG
rnacentral:rRNA from 1 species